UGCCUCUGGGAUUGCAGGAACCUCCUGGUGAACCUGGGGCUGUUUGCUGCCGGGGUCUGGGUCGCCCGGAACCUGACGGACAUCGACCUGAUGGCCCCGCAGCCCGUCCCGUAGGGCCGGAAUUCCUGGAGCUGCAGGGAGCAGAGCUCACCCUCCCAGCAGGACCGGAGCCGUGUUGGGCCGCGACGGGUUCGCUGCAUUCCUGGAAGGACGUCGUCGUUCUCCUCCCCUGCAGAGCUGCUGCUCCCAGUCCCUCCUGUCCUGCUCCAGGCAGUGACAAGAGGGAAAGAUUUAAGGCUGAGAGGAAGAAUUUGUUUCCAGUUCAUUCCUCAAGGCACAACAAGAAUGGUUUUCUCAAGGAUGGUUGUGGAAUUUCCUUCUGUACCCCCCCCAGAUGUUUAUUAAAGUCUAUGGAAUAACGACA